GGGUGGACGCCUCCGCGGCCCUGCACCCCUCUCCUUGGCCCCGCGUCUUAUCUGCUCUCAAGCCCUCAAGAGCCGUCUCAACCUCUGACCCGCCGCGACCCAGCGUCCCCACUCAUGGGUCCCCCAAGGGUUACCAGCAGGCAAGCACUUUCUCCUCAGCCCUCCAUGCAGCCCCUCUGAGUUCCCGCCUUCCCCAGGACGUCCCCCGUCCCAGGACACACGCCUAGGGGCUUCUACCGGCACUGACCUGGGAUGCCCCAUCCUCUGUGCCCACGUAGCGUCCAUGAAGCUGGUCCUACCAACACCUCAUCUGUGUCUUCAGUACUAUUUCCUGGGCUCACACCCAACGCCUGGGACUUGGCCUGAAUCCUUCUGACUUCUUCCAGAAGAUUCCUUGGCUAAUCCCGUGUUCUCUGCUGCUCUGUCACCGCCUCCAUAGUCUGACCCCCCAGGACCCCUAACCCUAGGGACCCUUGACCACGACCCUGACAGCUCUCAACAUGCUGCACGUGUACCGCUGGCCAGCCCCCUAGUUCAUCCUCCCCAUGUGUCCUGGACCGACCAGGCAUCAGAAUGACUCUUGUUCUCACGUGAAGCUUUAUCCCAGAACCCUGGUGUUUAGUGGCCUCAAAAAGUGCCUGUUUUAGAGGAAAUUCCCUCCACUCUGCCCGCGAGCGCCCACCCUCCCCUCUGCGGAUUGGCUCCGGCGAGGAUAUGACACCAGCAAGGCCACAGUUGAUUGGCUUGUAGGGAACCAAUCAGAGCCCUUAUCUGGGAGUGACGCUUGGCAGUCUGGGAAGGUGGGCACCCAGCGGAGACUGAUCGGUAGGCCUAGAAGUUGGAGGGAGCGGGUGGUUGAAGACGGUGGUUAGAGGAGGUGGAUGGCGAAUGUGAGCCGCAGAGCGACGAGGGGCAAGGGGUCCCGGAUGGCUUCCUGCGCUAAUCGUUCAUGGCCGUCGGAGUUGGUGGAGGUUCCUGCCACGUGCUCCUUGGGCCGCCAUCCGCAGGCCUGCAAGACCCUGUUGACGCCUGUGCGCACACGGCAGGCCAGCCCACAAGGCUGCACUUGCACGCUACCUGCUCCCUGGGUCUGCGCGUCAGGGGAAACUUGGACACAGAUGGGCACACACGGAGGCUACGUGAAGAUGGAGGAAAAGUCCAGUGAUGCUUCUCCAUGCUACGGCUUGCCGACAACCAACAGAAAGUUGGAGAUUCUCCCUCACAGCCUCAGAUGGAGCCAUCCCUGCAACACCUUGAACUCAGACUUCCAGCCUGCAGACCGUGAGACAAUGCAUUUCUGUUGCCUAAGAGGCCCAGCCUGUGGUAAUUUGUCACGGCAGCCAGAGCAGACUACCACAGCCUGUGGCAAAUAGGACACAGGUAGUGGAGGCCUGCUGUCGCCACACACUUUUAUGCGAUGACCUGGAAGGAAGCACUUCCUGAAAGCCAGAUUCUGGGAGUCCAAGCAGCUGCAAAGCACCGUCCUGGGGGAAAUCAGGGCUAUGGGGCAUGCGAGUGAUUUCUGACCACACUGGGAAGAUUUCAUUUUAAAAAAUGACAAGCAAGGGGCUUUAAAUUCUCAGUUCAAGAUAGAGUCCGAAAAGCAGAAAAUGUGUAGGACUACUAUAAAAGAAAAUCUUAUUUCUUGUAGCAGGACUGUUGUGUCUGGAUAUUAUUCCCCCAGUUCUAUUCUGCGGGUUGUAGGCUUACAACAUAAAUUGAAUUCUCAGCCUCACCAGGUC
ensembl:lncRNA